AUGGGUAGGGAAGGUUGCCAUGAGGCAAGUGGGGAAGAAUCACUGGAACAGGCAAUCUCUACUCUUACCCCUGCUCUAGAUAGCCCCACUCUGGGGGACAGAAGACUACUGACUUUACUCUUCUUUAAAUACCACAGUCCUUGAUCCCAGCCAGCAAGACUCUGGUUCUCCACACAGAAUGUGACAACAGUGACCCUAGUGGUCAGGUGGAUACAACAUGAACACUGCUCAUCAGACUUCCUCCCAAAGCCCUGUUCUUGGCCAGCUGAUACUUCCAGGUCACAUGCAGGACAGAAAAGUAGCACCAGUAGCACACCUGGGCCACGUGGCGUAUGUCAGCCAGUGUCUGUGCAACUUCCAAAUCCCAGCAUGGAGUUAAGUCCUCACCCCUACCCCAGACAAGAGCAUCCAGGGGAUCAACAAAUACAGCCAGCACGUACAGAAGGAACCAGCCCCAUGCUGGCAGCCCACUGCCCCAGUACAUCAGGAGCCGAGCUGGUCAAAGCAGGAUACAGCUGUCCCAGGUGGGAAGAGCUCUGCCAAAUUUGAUGGAGACACCGUGACCACGGUAAAGUGCCCAAGCUGUCAAGAGGCCAGCUCCAGAACACGGGCCACAAAAAAAAGAACAUCAAGAGAAACAGACAGCCCAAAUUAUUUCCGUAAAGAUGCACA